UACGAAGGGGGCUAGCGUUGCUCGGAAUUACUGGGCGUAAAGCGCACGUAGGCGGACUUUUAAGUCGGGGGUGAAAUCCUGGAGCUCAACUCCAGAACUGCCUUCGAAACUGAAAGUCUUGAGUUCGGGAGAGGUGAGUGGAACUGCGAGUGUAGAGGUGAAAUUCGUAGAUAUUCGCAAGAACACCAGUGGCGAAGGCGGCUCACUGGCCCGAUACUGACGCUGAGGUGCGAAAGCGUGGGGAGCAAUCACU
rnacentral:rRNA from 1 species